GGCUCGUUGGUCUAGGGGUAUGAUUCUCGCUUUGGGUGCGAGAGGUCCCGGUUCAAAUCCGGGAACCCA
rnacentral:tRNA from 1 species